rnacentral:rRNA from 1 species
CCCUUAGAUGUCCGGGGCCGCACGCGCGCUACACUGAUGAAUUCAACGAGCACUAACCUGUGCCGAAAGGUUCGGGUAAUCUUGUGAAAUUUCAUCGUGAUGGGGAUUGAUUAUUGCAAUUUUUAAUCAUAAACGAGGAAUGCCUAGUAAGCGUGAGUCAUCAGCUCACGUUGAUUACGUCCCUGCCCUUUGUACACACCGCCCGUCGCUCCUACCGAUUGAAUGUGCCAGUGAAAAGUUCGGAUUGGAGAUAGGAGACGGCAACGUAUCCUAUUUCCGAGAAAAUCUUUAAACUUUCCCAUUUAGAGGAAGGAGAAGUCGUAACA